rnacentral:lncRNA from 1 species
CAUGAACAACUUGGCAUUCCAUAAUAUGUUGUGCCCGGGCUAAUAUACAUUUAGUACAAUAAAUAUUCCAGCAUUAAUAAAUACUGUUUCCAGCAUAUAUGUACCGGCUUCCAUGAACUAUAUUCCAUUCAUGUAUUCCAAGCAAUAUUCAAGUGCAUCGGUAAAUUCCAUAUCGAGGUAAACAUAUUCCAGGAACUAUGUAGUAAAAAUGUUGCAAGCCACACAUAAGUAUUUUCUACAUCUCCCACUUGGCUAAAACAUUCUAAUUCCAUAAACGAAUACCCAUGUUGCAAACAUGUUUACAAAAUACUUCCUGACUAAGAGGUUUAGUCAGUGGAUCGGCAACCAUGUCCACACUAGGUAAAUAAUCUAAACGAAUUGUUCUUAAUCUAUUAACGACGUCACGAAUGUAAUGAUAUCUUCUCUCAAUAUGUUUGGUUUUGCUAUGAAACUUGGGAUCCUUUGAGACCUUGAUUGCCGCCUGGUUAUCACAGAAAAUAAUAACAGGAUAUGAAGCGCUUUCCACCACCAUGAGAGACGCAAGAAACCCCUUUAACCAUACACCUUCUUUCACAGCUUCCGACGCAGCAAUAUAUUCAGCCUCCAUAGAUGAAAGUGCUACAGAAUCUUGCUUCUUGCUACUUCAGGAAAUAGCUCCUCUUGCUAGUGUAAACAGAUAACCAGAAGUCGAUUUCCGGUCAUCAAGAUCCCCUUGCCAAUCAGCAUCAGUAAACCCCUGCAGCUGACGAUUGUGUCCAUUAAAACACAGAAAAUAGUCCAUAGUUCCUUUGACAUAACGCAAAGUGUUCCUAAUCUGUUUCCAAUGCUCAGGUCCAGGGUUCACUUGAUAUCUACUCAACAAACCCACGGCAUGGCAUAUAUCAGGUCUUGUAAAUAGCAUAGCAUACAUUAAAGAACCCAAUGCAGAUGAAUAAAGAAUAUUGCUCAUUUGUUUCUUUUCCUCAGGAGUUUUAGCACACAUUUCCUCACUAAGUUUAGCUCCCCUAAGAAUAGGUACUCUAACAGGCUUGCAAUUUUCCAUAGAGAAUCUCUGAAGUACAUUAUUGAGAUACGCCUUUUGAGACAAACCCAACAUUCUCUUCCUUCUAUCUCUACGUAUUUCCACUCCUAGAACAUAGGAAGCUUCCCCCAUAUCCUUCAUGUCAAAUUUAGAGGAUAACCAGGUUUUAACUUCCAUCAGUGUAGAUUUAUCAUUUGAAGCAAUGAGAAUAUCAUCAACAUAAAGAGAUAACAAAACAAAUUUAUUUCCCAUUAUCUUAAAAUAGAUACAAUGGUCACCUUCCGUCAUUGAAAAACCAUAUGACGUGAUUGCAUUAUCGAAAAGAAUAUACCACUGACGUGAGGCUUGUUUAAGACCAUAUAUAGACCUGUUUAAUUUACAGACCUUCCCUUCAUCCCCCCUUUCCACAAAACCUUCUGGUUGGUUCAUGUAUAUUUCUUCUUCCAACAUUCCAUUUAAGAAUGCUGUUUUAACAUCCAUUUGAUGCAAUUCCAGAUCAUAAUAAGCAGUUAAUGCACUAAUGAUCCGUAUGGAGGUAAAUUUAGCAACGGGAGAAAAGGUUUCUACAAAAUCAACUCCUUCCAUUUGUGUAAAUCCUUUAGCAACAAGCCUUGCUUUAUACUUAUCCACCUGACCAGUCGCAUUCAGUUUCCUUUUAAAGAUCCAUUUAGAACCAAUAGACUUUCGAUUGUUUGGUAAUUCAACUAAUUCCCAAACAUUAUUUUUCCUCAUAGAGUUUAAUUCUUCCUGCAUGGCUUCCAUCCAAAGAUUUGAUUCAGGACUUGCCAAUGCAGCUUUGAAUGAUUUUGGUUCUUCCUCUAAGUUCUGAAUUUUAGAGUGCACUUCCCCCAGAAAAACAAAAUACUCAUCUAAAUAUGCAGGUGGUUGUGUAUUCCUCCCACUUCUCCUAGGCAUGCUAUUCGAAAUAGAGUUAGUAGAUUGACUAGCAUCAUUAUUUUCCUGAACUAGAGGUUCAGUUUUAGGUAAAGAGAUAUCUUCAGGUUCUACUAAUAAUUCCACCCUAGCUCGUUUAACACGGCGAGGUGUAUCCUGAUCAAGAAAAACUGCAUCUCCACUUUCAAUCAAUUUCUUUCUUUGAGGAUCCCAAAAACGGUAACCAUUAGAACCUGAUGCAUAACCAAUAAAAAUUCCUGGGGUACUUUUAGAUUGUAGUUUGGUGCGCAACUGGCUAGGUAUCCUUAUUUGAGCAUUACACCCCCAAACGGCCAAAUGGCGAAGUGAGGGCUUCCUUCCCUUCCAAAGCUCAUAGGGUGUUACCCUUACAGCUUUAGAAGGUGAGUGAUUCAAUAAAUAUACAGCAGUGUGAAGUGCCUCUCCCCAAAAAGACAAUGGCAAGUCAGAAUAAGCCAUCAUAGACCUAACCAUAUCCAUUAAAGUCCUAUUCCUUCUUUCCGCCACUCCAUUCUGUUGUGGAGUAUAUGGCAAGGUAUAGUGAUGAAUAAUGCCAUGUUCUUUGCAGAAAUCAUCUAGUAUUCCUGACGUGUAUUCACCACCACGGGCAGUUCUAAGUAUUUUAAUUUUCUUGUUUAGCUGAUUUUCCACUUCCGCUUUGAACACUUUAAAAGCAUCAAAUCCUUCUGAUUUGUGUUUAAGCAAAUACACAUAACCGUACCUUGAAUAGUCAUCUAUGAAAGUGAUAAAGUAGAUUUUCUGCCCUCCCAAAGUGGGUGUGGAAAAUUCCCCACAAAUGUCAGAGUGAACAAUGGCAAGCUGUUCUGUUGAUCUAUUUGCUUUGGGAAAAGGCGACCUUGUCAUUUUACCCAUAAUACAUGCUUCACAAAUACCAUAAUCCUCCCACUUAAAGUUCAAAAUUCUAGAACUAAUAAGUCUCUUAAUCCUAUUCUUAGAUAUAUGUCCAAGUCGCAAAUGCCACAAGUAAGAUUCGAAACAAUUAUUCUGUCCAUUUAUAUUCCUCACAACGGAGUUAUCUUCGCCUACUAAGCAAUUAUUUUCCAUGAUGUCAUUUAGAAAAUAUAGUCCAUCAUGUCUAUCGCCUGAAUGUACUAAUCUUCCAUUUAAGACAAUUUUAGCCUUCCCAUCACCAAAGAUAAUUUUAUAUCCAAUUGACUCUAGUUUGGACACUGAAACUAGAUUCCUUCUCAUAUUGGGUGAAUAAAGUGCAUUUUCCAACACUAAGUUUCCUCCAUCAGGGAGUUUAAGCACAUAGUUUCCAAUUCGUAGUAUGUCUGCUUUAGCUUGAGUUCCUAAAUAGACAUGUCUUGUUCCUUUUGGAAUUGUUUUGAGUGUGGCAAAAGAGCUAGGUUCUCUAGCUAUGUGUGAAGUUGCACCAGAAUCUACUACCCAACUAUUCUGAAAAGUAGUAGUAAAUAAGAAUUCAGUGCAAACAUAAACAUCGGUAAUACCUUCAGGGGAUUGAUUCCCCUUGCGGCUGUCAUCCUUGUGAAAAUUAUCCCUUUCGCUGUUCGGCUUCCUCCUCUUGGUGCAUUCUGACCUGAAGUGGCCUGUAUUACCACAAUUAUGGCACUUGUAGUUCCUCUUGUCAAUCUUCUGAAAAGAGUUGUUGUUGUUCUUGUUAUUUCCAUGCUGCCCCCUGUCCCUCCUCUCAUCUCUGUAGUUCCUUUGAUCCCUGUCACGUUUAUAAUUGAUCUUGUCCCUUAGGUCCGGUCCUCCUCCUCUCUUAUUCCAAUUCCUCCGGUUCCCAUUGUUUUUGUACUCACCAAGGUGAAGCUCUGGCUGAUAAGAAGCUUUAUCUUUCCCUGAGUUAAGCCUGCGAUCCUCCUCCAUUAGCAAGUGUUGCCUCAGGUUCCUCAUAUUGAGUGUGCAUUCUGAAUGACAAAAAGAAAUCUUGAACUGUUCCCAUGAUGGUGGCAAAGAAUUCAGAACAACCAUGACUUGUACUUCCUCCUGGAACGGAUAACCAGCAGUUUUUAAUUCUUCCGCCAAGACACAGAGCUUGUUGAAGUGUUCAUUGACUGUUUUAUCACCCAUCUUCGAUGUCAGAAACUUGUUCACAAGACUAAGCACCUUCACAAGGGAAACUUCUCCAAAAUCUUGUUCCAGCCUGAGCAUUAUUCCACAAGCUGUUCCAUCUGACUCAUAUUCCGCAGCCAACGAAUCAGUCAUCGAGCCAAGGAUAUAAACUCUGGCAGUCUUGUUGUCCUUGGUCCAUUGCUUCAGUUCAUCAUUGUAUUCCUGCUUUUCUUCAUCUGUAGCAUCCUCUGCUGGCUCAUUAGGCGCCGGAGUUUCAGAAACAUAAUCAAUAUUCUCAGCCGUAAGCAAGAACAUGAUUUUCCUUUUCCAAACCGUGUAGUUUGUUCCAUCAAGUUUGUAGGCACGGAGUAAUUCAGCGAACACCCCAUUGGAAGCCAUUGAAAUUGGUUUCUUCUUCAGUUACCUGAAGUUCCUGUCGUUGUUGAUGUCGGAGCAGUCCUUGCCGUGGACGCGAAGCAGGCCGGCGAGAGUUGGUCAGGGCGAGCUUGACGAGGCGGCAGUAAGCUGGCGACGAACAUGGCGGGCUCCCUCCGGCUCGGCAAGGUUGACGAGGCAAACGUCGAUGGGGAACGGCGCGAACGUCGAGGAGGAGCCGGCCACGAGCGGUGGCAGGGUCGGCCCGAGGUGGAUGGGGAGGCGGACCAGAGGUGGUGAUGUGGGCGUGGGGUGGAUGCGGCGGCGUUGGGCGCUGAUGCGAGCGGAGCGGCGGCGCUGAUUGGUGGAGGUCGAGCAAUGCGGCGGCGGCGCUCGGUCGAGAGGAAUCGAGCCAGAUCGAUCUAAUCUUGGGUGGAGCUGUUGUGUACGUACAUGCCUAUCUCUUUCCCUUUUUUUAAGGAAAGAAAGACAGAGUAUGCAGCGGAAUACUAAUCCAGAUCGUAAUUGAUUCGACGACUAACAAAAUCGUCAAACCCUUAAUCGGCUCUGGUGCCAAUGUAAGAGAUAUACGCACACGGUCUAACCCUUAUUUCUCGAUUCUUUUCCGUGGUUUCGCUUACAAUGAUCAAUUGAGGCUAGGGGUUAGGGACCUUUAUAUAGUGUUAUUCCAGUUAAUUUCAAACUGUAUAAACUGCAGAUAAAUGUCCAGAUAAAAUCUGUUUAAACGAAGACUCCAGGUUAACUUAACCAACCACGAUCAUUAGUAACCAUCAAGGAGUUUCAUCUGCAAACUGUCCCAUAAGCACGUACGUGUGAGUCGCACGCUGAAUUUGAAUUACAAUUCGAAUUCACAGGCUUUACCAAUUCAUGGAGCCAAUCCCAUGAACAACCUGGCAUUCCAUAAUAUGCUGUGCCCGGACUAAUAUACAUUUAGUACAAUAAAUAUUCCAGCAUUAAUAAAUAUUGUUUCCAGCAUAUAUGUACCGGCUUCCAUGAACUAUAUUCCAUUCAUGUAUUCCAAGCAAUAUUCAAGUGCAUCAGUAAAUUCCAUAUCGAGGUAAACAUAUUCCAGGAACUAUGUAGUAAAAAUGUUGCAAGCCAC